AUUGAACGCCGGCGGCAUGCCUUACACAUGCAAGCCGAACGGCAGCACGGGAGCAAUCCUGGUGGCGAGUGGCGAACGGGUGAGUAAUAUAUCGGAACGUGCCCAGUCGUGGGGGAUAACGCAGCGAAAGCUGUGCUAAUACCGCAUACGAUCUAAGGAUGAAAGCGGGGGAUCGCAAGACCUCGCGCGAUUGGAGCGGCCGAUAUCAGAUUAGCUAGUUGGUGGGGUAAAGGCCCACCAAGGCGACGAUCUGUAGCUGGUCUGAGAGGACGAGCAGCCACACUGGAACUGAGACACGGUCCAGACUCCUACGGGAGGCAGCAGUGGGGAAUUUUGGACAAUGGGCGCAAGCCUGAUCCAGCAAUGCCGCGUGCAGGAUGAAGGCCUUCGGGUUGUAAACUGCUUUUGUACGGAACGAAACGGCCCUUUCUAAUACAGGGGGCUAAUGACGGUACCGUAAGAAUAAGCACCGGCUAACUACGUGCCAGCAGCCGCGGUAAGAC
rnacentral:rRNA from 1 species